rnacentral:rRNA from 1 species
CUGGAUUCNGCGGCGGANGGGUGAGUANUGCCWAGGAAUCUGCCUGGUAGUGGGGGACAACGUUUCNAAANNAACGCUAAUACCNCAACGWCCUACGGSAGAAAGCAGGGGACCUUCGGGCCUUGCGCUAUCAGAUGAGCCUAGGUCGGAUUAGCUAGUUGGUGAGGUAAUGGCUCACCWAGGCGACGAUCCRUAACUGGUCUGAGAGGAUGAUCAGUCACMCUGGAACUGAGACRCGGUCCMRACUCCUACSGGAGGCASCASUGGGRAAYAUUGGACAAKGGGCGAAAGCCUGAUCCASCCAUGCCGCGUGUGUGAAGAAGGUCUUCGGAUUGUAAAKCACUUUARKUUGSGARGAAGGGCAUUAACCUAAUACGUUAGWGUUUUGACGUUACCGACAGAAUAAGCWCCGGCUAACUCUGUGCCARCAGCCGCGGUAAUACAGAGGGUGCAAGCGUUAAUCGGAAUUACUGGGCGUAAAGCGCGCGUAGGUGGUUUGUUAAGUUGGAUGUGAAAUCCCCGGGCUCAACCUGGGAACUGCAUUCAAAACUGACAAGCUAGAGUAUGGUAGAGGGUGGUGGAAUUUCCUGUGUAGCGGUGAARUGCGUACAUGUAGGAAGGAACACCAGUGGCGAAUGCGACCACCUGGACUGAUACUGACACUGAMGUGCGAAWGCGUGGGGAGCAAACAGGAUUAGAUACCCUGGUAGUCCACGCCGUAAACGAUGUCAACUAGMCGUUGGGAGCCWUGAGCUCUUAGUGKCGCAGCUAACGCAUUAAGUUGASCGCCUGGWGAGUACGGCCGCAAGGUUAANNCUCAAAUGAAUUGACGGGGGCCCGCACAAGCGGUGGAGCAUGURGUUUAAUUCGAAGCAACGCGANNAACCUUACYAGGMCUUGACAUCCAAUGAACUUUCCAGAGAUGGAUYGSUGCCUUCGGWAACAUUGAGACAGGUGCUGCAUGGCUGUCGUCAGCUCGUGUCGUGARAUGUUGGGUUAAGUCCCGUAACGAGCGCAACCCUUGWCCUUAGUUACCAGCACGUAAUGGUGGGCACUCUAA